rnacentral:rRNA from 1 species
GACGAACCGUGCGAACGUUGUUCGGAAUCACUGGGCUUAAAGGGCGCGUAGGCGGCAACUCAAGUCCGGGGGUGAAAGCCCCCCGGCUCAACCGGGGGAAGUGCCUUGGAGACUGGGUUGCUCGAGGGAGGUAGGGGGUCGAGGGAACUUCUGGUGGAGCGGUGAAAUGCGUUGAUAUCAGAAGGAACGCCGGUGGCGAA